rnacentral:rRNA from 1 species
AGAGUUUGAUCCUGGCUCAGGAUGAACGCUAGCGACAGGCUUAACACAUGCAAGUCGAGGGGCAGCGGGGAGUAGCAAUACUCCCGCCGGCGACCGGCGCACGGGUGAGUAACACGUAUGAAACCUGCCCGUAGCAGGGGGAUAAGCGGAAGAAAUUCCGUCUAAUACCGCGUAACAACCCAUGGAGGCAUCUCCGUGGGUUUAAAGGAAGCGAUUCCGGCUACGGAUGGUCAUGCGUCGCAUUAGCUUGUUGGCGGGUAACGGCCCACCAAGGCGACGAUGCGUAGGGGUUCUGAGAGGAAGGUCCCCCACACUGGUACUGAGACACGGACCAGACUCCUACGGGAGGCAGCAGUGAGGAAUAUUGGUCAAUGGCCGCAGGGCUGAACCAGCCAAGUCGCGUGAGGGAUGACGGUCCUAUGGAUUGUAAACCUCUUUUGUCAGGGAGCAAAGGGCGCCACGUGUGGCGUUUUGCGAGUACCUGAAGAAAAAGCAUCGGCUAACUCCGUG